UUUGUACUCCCUCCGUCCCAAAAUUCUUGUCUUAAAUUUGUCUAAAUACGGAUGUAUCUAGUUACAUUUUAGUGUUAGAUACAUCCGUAUCUAAACAAAUGUAAGACAAGAAUUUUGGGAUGGAGGGAAUACUAC
rfam:Triticum aestivum genome assembly, contig: Triticum_aestivum_CS42_TGACv1_scaffold_306236_4AS